rnacentral:rRNA from 1 species
CCUACGGGUUGCAGCAGUGGGGAAUAUUGCACAAUGGGCGCAAGCCUGAUGCAGCCAUGCCGCGUGUAUGAAGAAGGCCUUCGGGUUGUAAAGUACGUUCAGCGGGGAGGAAGGUGUUGUGGUUAGUAACCACAGCAAUUGACGUUACCCGCAGAAGAAGCACCGGCUAACUCCGUGCCGGCGGCCGCGGUAAUACGGAGGGUGCAAGCGUUAAUCGGAAUUACUGGGCGUAAAGCGCACGCAGGCGGUCUGUCAAGUCGGAUGUGAGAUCCCCGGGCUCAACCUGGGAACUGCAUUCGAAACUGGCAGGCUAGAGUCUUGUAGAUGGGGGUAGAAUUCCAGGUGUAGCGGUGAAAUGCGUAGAGAUCUGGAGGAAUACCGGUGGCGAAGGCGGCCCCCUGGACAAAGACUGACGCUCAAGUACGAAAGCGUGGGGAGCAAACAGGAUUAGAUACCCCAGUAGUC